ACCAAGGACUUUAUCAUGCACGCGAGUCAAUGGGUACCACGACACCCCAAGGCGUAGUGAAAGUGAAGUCUCGACUUGUUCUUGGGGUGUGGUGAGAUGCCACUGUUUCUCGCACCUUGCCUUGCGCGUACAGCACCAGGCACAAGAGCAGUGGUCGCAUCACCAGCCCGUCCCAUGAUGUGGUCGUUGGAAAGGCGUGAAUCGUUCUGCGAUCUGCGUUUGAGCCGGGGCGGAGCAGGAACGUGCAUGAUAAGACUCGAAAGAUGGUGAACUAUGCUUGCGUCGUUUGAAGCUAAAGGAAACUCUGGUGGAGGACUGCAGCGAUUCUGGCAUGCAAAUCGAUCGGCAAACGUGAGUACAGGGGUAAAAGACUAAUCGAACCAUCUAGUAGCUGGUUGCCUCCAAAGUUUCCCUCAGGAUAGCUGGCACUCAUUCGCAAGAUCAGUUUUAUCCGGUAAAGCAAAUGAUUAGAGGUACUGGGUUCGAAAGGAGCUCAACCUAUUCUCAAACUUGCAAUGGGUGAUAUGCACGGCUCGCUUCAUAGGAGUCGGGCGCUGAAUGUGCGAGUGCUAAGUGGGCCAUUUUUGGUAAGCAGAACUGGCGCUGUGGGAUGAACCAAACGCCCGGUUACGGUGCCUAACGCUGACGCUCAUGAGAUACCACAAAAAGUGUUGGUUAAUAUAGACAGCAAGACGGUGGUCAUGGAAGUCGGUAUCCGAUAAGGAGUCUGUAACAACUCACCUGUCGAAUUGACCAGCCCUGAAAAUGGAUGGCGCUGGAGCGUCAGACCUAUACCGGGCCGUCACCACAAGCUGGAUCGCUGGCUAUGUCUGGUGGUGUGAGCAGAACUUGGCUGGUUGCGUGAACGACAAUCGUUCGCUGUCUUGCGAAGUCAUGAUCAAGUCAAAGAGGCGGUGGCGAGUAGGAGGGUCGCCGUGGUGAGCGUGAAAGCCUCGGACGUGAGUCUGGGUGGAGCCGCCACGGGUGCAGAGCUUGGUGUUAGUAGCAAAUAUUCAAGUGAAAACCUUGAAGGCCGAGGUGGAGAGGGUUCCAUGGGAACAGCAGUUGGCCAUGGGUCAGGCGGUCCUAAGCGAUCCGGUGUCUCGGUACAGAGACGUGGGGUGCCUUGCAUACUUCUAUCUGUGUGUGAAUGUGGCACGCCUGCAGUCGGCAGCCCCCCGGAGCGAAAGGGAAUCGGGUUAAUAUUCCCGACCCUGCCCACGGAGAUAGGCAAGCGUUUGGCUGGGCCGUCAGUGUGCGCGCUUUUUCGGCGUGUGCAGCUGUGGUCUGUGUCUGGGCGCUGCUAAGCGCGGUAACGCAACCGAACUCGGAGACAUCGGCUUGAGUUCCGGGAAGAGUUUUCUUUUCUUUGUAAGGAGUGCUCACCACCCCUGGAAUCGGGUUGUCCGGAGAUAGGGGUAUCGCCUGCGUACCGCACCACCUUUCUCGUGGUGUCCGGAACACGCUGGUCGGUCCUUGAAAAUCCGAGGAAGGCAUUAUGAUUUUCGUGGCAGGCCGUACCCAUAUCCGCAUCAGGUCUCCAAGGUGAACAGCCUCUGGCA
rnacentral:ncRNA from 1 species